AAAGGGAACAUGAAUUUCGAUUAUUCUCGAUAUUGUUCGCUGUAAGAUCCAUCGCGAUUAAAAAAGAAUGACGGCGAUGGUCACAACGAGAGCACUCUCUAAAUGUUUGACGAAGAACACAACACUCGGAUGGCAAAGACGCACACGUACAUGCACACGCACACAUAGACACCUGUUUCCAUUGGGACGAGCGUCGUGAUAUUCUUUUUUGUAAAAUCGAUGAAUUUUCUUCCAGAAAAUCCAUACCUCUUAAGCACAGUAGAUAAGACCUCUCAUAGUUGACGAAAAUCGAUCGAUCUUCCAACGCGGUAUGUACAUAUGUAACUAUGCAAGUAUGUUCAAUACGAGAAAUAGUUCAAACGCGAAUUAAUUAAUUGUCCAUUUUGAUGAUGAGAUGCGCGACAGAUUGAAUUCCUACGUGACAGCCGACCAACGUAUUCGAGUACUUGGCCGAACGAAGACUAUUCGUUGAUCGAGUCAUGCAUGAACCAUUGGAAAAGCUCUGGAACGGUGGGAGGAUGAGAAAUCGUAAUAUUGACCAUCGUGUCUACUAAGAUCUUUCUUUCAUUCUUUCUUUUUUUUAAAUAGUUUUCAUAAAAAUAGAAAUAAAACGCAUCCUUCGAA